rnacentral:rRNA from 1 species
ACAUGCAAGUCGAGCGGAGUUGAUCGACGGAAGCCUUCGGGCGGAAGAUGAUUAACUUAGCGGCGGAUGGGUGAGUAACGCGUGGGCAACCUGCCUCGAAGACCGGGAUAACAGUUCGAAAGGGCUGCUAAUACCGGAUGUGGUCAAGUGUCAGCAUGGGCAUUUGAUUAAAGGGGAAACCCGUUUCGAGAUGGGCCCGCGUCCUAUCAGCUAGUUGGUGAGGUAAAGGCUCACCAAGGCAAUGACGGGUAGCCGGCCUGAGAGGGUGACCGGCCACACUGGAACUGAGACACGGUCCAGACUCCUACGGGGGGCAGCAGUGGGGAAUCUUCCACAAUGGGCGAAAGCCUGAUGGAGCGACGCCGCGUGAGCGAAGAAGGCCUUCGGGUUGUAAAGCUCUGUCUGGAGGGACGAAGAAAGUGACGGUACCUCCGGAGGAAGCCACGGCUAACUACGUGCCAGCAGCCGCGGUAAUACGUAGGUGGCGAGCGUUGUCCGGAAUCACUGGGCGUAAAGGGCGCGCAGGCGGCGUGUCAAGUCGGACGUGAAAACCCCUGGCUCAACUGGGGGAUGUCGUUCGAAACUGACAUGCUUGAGUG